rnacentral:rRNA from 1 species
AUGGAGGAUCAAAUCACAAAGAUGCUGGCUGCACAUUUUAUCAGGCACAGCCAGAGUCCCUAUGUAGCUCCUAUUAUUUUAGUGAAGAAAAAGGAUAAUUCCAUGAGGCUAUGCACUAAUUUCAGGAAGCUAAACUCUAUCACUGUGAAAAACAAGUUCCCCAUACCAGUCAUAGAAGAUUUACUGGAUGAAUUACAUGGAGCCCAGUACUUUUCCAAAUUGGACUUGAGAGCAGGAUAUCAUCAAAUUAGAAUGCACCCUGAUGACAUACACAAAACUGCUUUCAGGACAUUUUUAGGGCAUUUUGAGUAUUUGGUGAUGCCCUUUGGACUGUCUAAUGCACCAGGCACCUUUCAAGCACUAAUGAAUAGCAUUUUUGGCCCUUAUCUGAGAAAGUUUAUAUUGGUUUUCUUCGAUGAUAUACUGAUCUACAGUAAAUCUCUCAAAGAGCACAUGGAGCAUAUUGAACUAGUGCUCAAAGUACUGAAGGAGAAUCAGUUAUGUGCUAAACUAUCUAAAUGUGUCUUUGCAGUUCAACAAGUAGAGUAUCUUGGGCAUGUAAUUUCUGCAGAGGGAGCAGCUACUGAUCCUUAG